GCACUGAUUGGACUAGGGGCCCCCAACGGGUUACCGAAUUCAGUCAAACUCCGAAUGCCAAAUACUUAUUCUUGGGAGUCAGACUGCGAGUGAUAAGAUCCGUAGUCGAAAGGGAAACAGCCCAGACCACCAGCUAAGGUCCCAAAGUAUACGUUAAGUGGAAAAGGAUGUGGAGUUGCUUAGACAACCAGGAUGUUGGCUUAGAAGCAGCCACCAUUUAAAGAGUGCGUAAUAGCUCACUGGUCGAGUGACUCCGCGCCGAAAAUGUACCGGGGCUAAACGUAUCACCGAAGCUGUGGAUUGACACCGUAUGGUGUCGAUGGUAGGAGAGCGUUCUAAGGGCGUUGAAGUCAGACCGGAAGGACUGGUGGAGCGCUUAGAAGUGAGAAUGCCGGUAUGAGUAGCGAAAGAAGGGUGAGAAUCCCUUCCACCGAAUGCCUAAGGUUUCCUGAGGAAGGCUCGUCCGCUCAGGGUUAGUCGGGACCUAAGCCGAGGCCGAAAGGCGUAGGCGAUGGACAACAGGUUGAUAUUCCUGUACCACCUAUACAUCGUUUGAACGAUGGGGGGACGCAGAAGGAUAGGGUAAGCGCGCUGUUGGAUAUGCGCGUCCAAGCAGUUAGGCCGGAAACGAGGCAAAUCCCGUUUCCAUUAAGGCGGAGCUGUGAUGGCGAGGGAAAUAUAGUACCGAAGUUCCUGAUUCCACGCUGCCAAGAAAAGCCUCUAGUGAGAUGUAAGGUGCCCGUACCGCAAACCGACACAGGUAGGCGAGGAGAGAAUCCUAAGGUGUGCGAGAGAACUCUCGUUAAGGAACUCGGCAAAAUGACCCCGUAACUUCGGGAGAAGGGGUGCUUUUUAGGGUGAAUAGCCCAGAAAAGCCGCAGUGAAUAGGCCCAGGCGACUGUUUAGCAAAAACACAGGUCUCUGCGAAGCCGCAAGGCGAAGUAUAGGGGCUGACACCUGCCCGGUGCUGGAAGGUUAAGGGGAGAGGUUAGCGCAAGCGAAGCUUUGAACCGAAGCCCCAGUAAACGGCGGCCGUAACUAUAACGGUCCUAAGGUAGCGAAAUUCCUUGUCGGGUAAGUUCCGACCCGCACGAAAGGUGUAACGAUCUGGGCACUGUCUCAACGAGAGACUCGGUGAAAUUAUAGUACCUGUGAAGAUGCAGGUUACCCGCGACAGGACGGAAAGACCCCGUGGAGCUUUACUGCAGCCUGAUAUUGAAUUUUGGUACAGCUUGUACAGGAUAGGUAGGAGCCUGAGAAGCCGGAGCGCCAGCUUCGGUGGAGGCGUUGGUGGGAUACUACCCUGGCUGUAUUGAAAUUCUAACCCGCGCCCCUUAUCGGGGUGGGAGACAGUGUCAGGUGGGCAGUUUGACUGGGGCGGUCGCCUCC
rnacentral:rRNA from 1 species